UUGCUUGGGCAGCACCUAUCGUAAAACUGUGAAUGAUACAGAGGAGAUUAGCAGGGCCUCUGCACAAGAAUGACACAAAAACUUGUGACAUGUUCCAUAUUACA
rnacentral:snRNA from 1 species